rnacentral:lncRNA from 1 species
AACUCCAGCUGGUAUACAUUUGCAUAAAUGCCCUCACAAAUCUCCAUUUUCCCCUUUUUCUUCCUUUUCAGGCUGUGGGAGAGGACGGCGACGGUGACGGCGGCAGCAGGGAGCUUGUCGGAGUUGCGGCCGACGAGGAUGAGGCUGAGGCCCGCAGCGACGAGGCGGAGGGCGAAGGUGCCGCCGAUUCGAAGAAAAAUGAGAAAAAUUAAGGAAGAUAAAGAGAAUGAGGAGGAAAAGAAGGAUACGAAGAAGAAGAAGAAGAACAAGAACAAGAAGAAAAAGAGAAAGAGGAAGAGGAAGAGGAAGAAGAUGAAGAGGAAGAGAAAGAGGAAGAAGAAGAAGGAUAAAAUUAUCAAUUUACUUUAUUAAUUAAC